UGCACACAGCCAGUGCCCGUGUAUUGCGGACCCGCCAAAGACUAAUAGGGCACUAUUUAUAUAGCGAGGAGGACAGUAUAUGAUAUUAGGCAUAAUCAUCUUGUCAUUCUAGUUCUCUAUGGAGACAAAAGUGGUGUAUAUCUCGCUUUGU